UCAAGCGACUAAGUGCAUGUGGUGGAUGCCUUGGCGAUUACAGGCGAUGAAGGACGUUGCAGCCUGCGAAAAGCUGCGGGGAGCUGGCAAGCAAGCUUUGAUCCGCAGAUAUCCGAAUGGGGAAACCCACCCGCAAGGGUACCCUGAGCUGAAUACAUAGGCUCAGAGGAGCGAACCGAGCGAACUGAAACAUCUAAGUAGCUCGAGGAAAAGAAAUCAACCGAGAUUCCGCAAGUAGUGGCGAGCGAACGCGGAACAGCCUGCAAGAUUUAGCGCACACGUUAACAGAACAGCCUGGAAAGGCUGGCCAGAGAGGGUGAUAGCCCCGUACGUGAAAACCUGUGUGUGGAACCAAGCUUGCGACAAGUAGGGCGGGACACGAGAAAUCCUGUCUGAACAUGGGGGGACCAUCCUCCAAGGCUAAAUACUCGUAAUCGACCGAUAGUGAACCAGUACCGUGAGGGAAAGGCGAAAAGAACCCCGGGAGGGGAGUGAAAUAGAUCCUGAAACCGCAUGCAUACAAACAGUGGGAGCCCCUGCACAAAGAGUCUUCGGGGUUCUUUCGAGGAGCGCGCAGCGCGACUCAAAAGAACUUAAAGAUGAAAUAGAUCUUUGGGCAGGUAAAGAACCCGGAGGGUUCUUCGUGCAGGGGUGACUGCGUACCUUUUGUAUAAUGGGUCAGCGACUUACGUUCAGUAGCGAGCUUAACCGAAUAGGGGAGGCGUAGGGAAACCGAGUCUGAUAAGGGCGAUAGUUGCUGGGCGUAGACCCGAAACCAGAUGAUCUAUCCAUGGCCAGGAUGAAGGUGCGGUAACACGCACUGGAGGUCCGAACCCACUAAUGUUGAAAAAUUAGGGGAUGAGCUGUGGAUAGGGGUGAAAGGCUAAACAAAUCUGGAAAUAGCUGGUUCUCUCCGAAAACUAUUUAGGUAGUGCCUCAAGUAUCACCUUCGGGGGUAGAGCACUGUUAUGGCUAGGGGGUCAUCGCGACUUACCAACCCAUUGCAAACUCCGAAUACCGAAGAGUGCGAGCUUGGGAGACAGACAUCGGGUGCUAACGUCCGGUGUCAAAAGGGAAACAACCCAGACCGCCAGCUAAGGUCCCAAAGACACAGUUAAGUGGUAAACGAUGUGGGAAGGCAUAGACAGCCAGGAUGUUGGCUUAGAAGCAGCCAUCAUUUAAAGAAAGCGUAAUAGCUCACUGGUCGAGUCGUCCUGCGCGGAAGAUGUAACGGGGCUCAAACUGUGCACCGAAGCUGCGGAUAUGCAUGCUCCUUUAAGGGCAUUUAGGGCGAAAGCUUGUCGCACGCAGUGCGACAAAGCGUUCCCCAAAGUUGCGUUAAAGGGCUGACAAGUGCGUUUAAAGGAGCAUGCAUAUGGUAGGAGAGCGUUCUGUAGGCCGUUGAAGGUGAGGUGAGAACCUUGCUGGAGGUAUCAGAAGUGCGAAUGCUGACAUGAGUAGCGAUAAAACGGGUGAAAAGCCCGUUCGCCGAAAGCCCCAGGUUUCCUGUGCAACGUUCAUCGGCGCAGGGUGAGUCGGCUCCUAAGGCGAGGCUGAGAAGCGUAGUCGAUGGGAAACAGGUUAAUAUUCCUGUACCGGCCUUGAAUGCGAUGUGGGGACGGAGAAGGUUAACUCGGCCAACUGUUGGAAUAGUUGGUUUAAGUGUGUAGGCAGAUUCCUUAGGCAAAUCCGGGGGGUCAAUGCCGAGGCAUGAUGACGAGGUGCUACGGCACUGAAGUGAGCGAUACCCUGCUUCCAAGAAAAGCCACUAAGCUUCAGUUCAAGGACGACCGUACCGCAAACCGACACAGGUGGGCAGGGUGAGAAUCCUAAGGCGCUUGAGAGAACUCAGGAGAAGGAACUCGGCAAAUUAACACCGUAACUUCGGGAGAAGGUGUGCCCUUAUUAUGUGAAGCGACUUGCUCGCGGAGCAGAACGGGGUUGCAGUGAAAAGGUGGCUGCGACUGUUUAAUAAAAACACAGCACUCUGCAAACACGAAAGUGGACGUAUAGAGUGUGACGCCUGCCCGGUGCUGGAAGGUUAAGUGAUGGGGUGCAAGCUCUUGAUCGAAGCCCCAGUAAACGGCGGCCGUAACUAUAACGGUCCUAAGGUAGCGAAAUUCCUUGUCGGGUAAGUUCCGACCCGCACGAAUGGCGUAACGAUGGCCACACUGUCUCCUCCUGAGACUCAGCGAAGUUGAAGUGUUUGUGAAGAUGCAAUCUACCCGCGGCUAGACGGAAAGACCCCAUGAACCUUUACUGUAGCUUUGCAUUGGACUUUGAACAUACUUGCGUAGGAUAGGUGGGAGGCGUUGAAGCGGUAUCUCCGGAUAUCGUCGAGCCACCCUUGAAAUACCACCCUGGUGUGUUUGAGGUUCUAACCUGGGUCCAUUAUCUGGAUCGGGGACCGUGCAUGGUGGGCAGUUUGACUGGGGCGGUCUCCUCCCAAAGCGUAACGGAGGAGCACGAAGGUAUCCUAGCUACGGUCGGAAAUCGUAGCGAUAGUGCAAUGGCAAAAGGAUGCUUGACUGCGAGACUGACAAGUCGAGCAGGUGCGAAAGCAGGUCAUAGUGAUCCGGUGGUUCUGUAUGGAAGGGCCAUCGCUCAACGGAUAAAAGGUACUCUGGGGAUAACAGGCUGAUUCCUCCCAAGAGUUCACAUCGACGGGGGAGUUUGGCACCUCGAUGUCGGCUCAUCACAUCCUGGGGCUGUAGCCGGUCCCAAGGGUAUGGCUGUUCGCCAUUUAAAGUGGUACGUGAGCUGGGUUUAAAACGUCGUGAGACAGUUUGGUCCCUAUCUGCCGUGGGCGCUGGAAAUUUGAAGGGACCUGCUCCUAGUACGAGAGGACCGGAGUGGACGGAUCUCUGGUGUACCGGUUAUCACGCCAGUGGUAUCGCCGGGUAGCUAAAUCCGGAAGAGAUAAACGCUGAAAGCAUCUAAGCGUGAAACUCGCCUUGAGAUGAGAUUUCCCGGGGGCUAGACCCCCCUGAAGGGUCGUUCGAGACCAGGACGUUGAUAGGCUGGGUGUGGAAGUGCAGUAAUGCAUUAAGCUUACCAGUACUAAUUGCCCGUGAGGCUUGACCC
rnacentral:rRNA from 1 species